UACGCCUCAAUUAACUCGGGAAUGAUCCAGCUUAACUUUGUGUUUUCUGAAAUAGGACGAUUUUCACCUAGAGCGAUUUUGCCUUCUAAUAAAAGGUCCCAAAAGAGAGUAACCCGAAUAAUCAUGUCGAUAUUAUUAGACAAAAUAAAUUCGGGAUCAGCUAGAUUAAGGUUAUCUGGAAUACUGAUUACAGAAAUAUCCACUGUUGUGGUUGAUAUUGGAACGACAUAACAAAAAUUGUACAGCGUAGGUAAUUCAGAUGAAGCAUACGGUUCUUUCCAUUUAUUUUGAGAUAUUUUAUCAAGUUUCUUGUAAAUUAAAUGAAUAAUAGUCAUAUCCCAAAGGGCUUUUUUGUAAAGCUACAUUCCUUCAAGUGCUGUGCUUUUCAUUUUCUC